rnacentral:sRNA from 1 species
GGAAAGUGAUGAUAUGU